GGACUACUGGGGUAUCUAAUCCCGUUCGCUCCCCUAGCUUUCGCACCUGAGCGUCAGGUACCAGCCAGGACACUGCCUUCGCCUUUGGUAUUCCUCCGGAUAUCUACGCAUUUCACCACUCCACCCGGAAUUCUGUGUCCCUCUCUGGCCCUCAAGUCCUGCAGUCUUCGAGACGCUCUCUCGGUUGAGCCGAGAGCUGUCACCCCAAACUUACAGCACCGCCUGCGUGCGCUUUACGCCCAGUAACUCCGGACAACGCUCGCCCCCUACGUAUUACCGCGGCGGCUGGCAC
rnacentral:rRNA from 1 species